UACUAUUAUAUAAGAGGGGUACUCCGUUUACACCUGUGUGAGUCUAAAACUCUCACACUAAUUAUUGUCCAUUGAUCAAAUUUAAAUCUAAUGGUCCCAAAUAAUUUUAAUUAGUAGGUCACGUGAUUUUCUUUUACUCUUCCCCCUUUUCAAUUGCAGUUACCUCUAUCCUCCCACCACUGCUCAACCAAUUCUCUGCACCACCACUGAAUUUAACCUAGCCCCAAUCUCCCAAAAGUCACCGUUGUCUCUCUCUCUCUCUCUCGCCUGUAUGUGUUUUGUUCUCGUCACUUCAAGGUUCAAGUUUCAUAUCACCUUCUCUUGAAUAUUUAAUUUCUCAUUGUUUUCUAAAAUCCUAUAUGCACAAGAACUACCCACAAGGGCCACAACGUAACAUAUUCAUCUACCAAUCCACUCUGUUAUCUAUAAUUUUGAGACCUCAUUCUGGAGAGUGAGGCACUCAAAACACACACACUCCAUCAGAAAAUGCCACGUCAUCCUUUUAAUAGAAUUUACUCAUUCUCUCUCAUAUUCUCGUGGGACGUGUCUAUCACGCGCAUAACUUGCAUCUAGCUUUCCUUUGUUCAGUACUCUGUUUCAUGCUUCUCAACCAACCUCAUCUCUUUCACUCUUCCAAAUCUCCAAAUCUGAAAUCCCUAAUUUUACUCAUCUCUUCUUAAUUCAAAUCCUUAUCCCUACUUUCUUCAAUUUCAAAUCCCUCUAAUAGCGAUUCCAUCAAUCAGCCCCAAAUCUUUUUCAGUUCCCUCACUCUACACCAUUCGAAACCUUUUACAGUGCCAAUUUCAGAAAUCAAUUCUCUCAACAAUGGAUUUUAAUUAUGCAAUAUGAGAUUCCAGAUAUCGCAGAGAAGGACUCAUGAGGUUCAGAAGCACAUCUCGGUCCAAAUACAUUUCACCCCUUCUCUUUUCUUGGUUCUUCCGUUAGAUUUGAAAUUUUUCAAUUUUUCAAUUUCGAAUUUUGAAUUCCUGGGUCAAGUCAUGUUUCUGAGGUUCUUUCCCUGAACUUUUUCUCUCUGUGAUUAUGUCUGUGUAAGUUAGUCUGUGAUUCUUGGUUGGGAAAAUCACGAUCCAUGGUACUGGUCCUCAAAGCUGUUAAUGUAGAGAGGGUAAUGGACUUAAUUAAAUUCAGGUCUUGGAAAUGGCUGAAAUGUAAGAAUAAGAAUUUCAUUUAUUCUUCUUGGGACUGGUCCUCAAAUCCUCACAUUUGUCUGGGAGUGGGUGAUGUUUGAUCACAGUGUUUGGCUGAUUGCUGACCAUGAUGUUGAUCUUCUUUGGUAAUGUGUGGAAGGCUGUUGAGCUCAGGUUUUUCUGUCAGUGCUUUGCUGUUGUUGUUCCCAGUUAAGAUAAUGUGCAAAGGUGGAUCUGAAAGUAAUUCCCUGACAAUCCAUGUGAAGCUCACUGGUGUUUCUCCAUUUACCUUAAUACUCCAUUCCUUAUUGUUGUUGUGCCAUGUGGUAGCUCCCUGCGAAAUUGAAAUUAGCAUUGAGCCCACUUGCUGAGAUGGUCUUUGGGUAUAAUUGCUGCUGCAAUGUUUCCUCUUUGCUGCGGUUUUUAGUUCUUUUUCUUUUCUUCUUUGUUAUGCUAUGCUUCUUUGUACUGUGGGUUGUGGCACCCCUUAAGUGCCACCAUUCUUUUAUUCAAUUUGGCUUUCAAAAAAAAACGAUCCAUGGUAUAGUGAAGUGAGAGUUUUGUUAUCAGAAUACAUAGAAACUAUGCUUCUUUGUUGUUCUAAUGCCACUUUUAAAACUUUCUUAGUCCAUGUUUCCGUUGAAUUUCUUGAUGGCCUGCUUAGAUUUUAUUAUUUCAUGAAUGCAAGACUAAAGCAGAAUGCUGCAGAUUUGAAAUCUUGAAAAUGUUUUGGCAUUAUCAUUUGUUUAUUCUUGAUGAUUCAAAAGAUUGAUACUUGUUUUUCUGUUAAGUGCAAAAUACUAUCACAUUAUAUGAUUUGUAUAUCUCAAUAUAAUGAUGAUAAGAAAAAAAAAAUCUCUUGACAGUAUAUGAUUUGUACUUUCCUGUGGUAUUUCUAUUACAAGUGAAAAUGAACUUCAAUUAUUAUUUCAGCAGGACGUUACUCAAAUGAAAAGAAUAUCACAUUGAAAUCUUGGUUGUUCCGACAUAGCGCAAAAUUCUACAGCACAAGCUUCUCAACUAAGGAGUUGAAACAUGUUAAGAUAGAGACGUGAAAUAAGAUCUUGAUUGCAUUGAGACUUUAGCAUAUGUUGCAUGUAUAGCUAUUUAUGUUGUUAUAAAAACUUAAUUACAUUAUUUGGUUUGGUAUCAAGUAAACUCAGAUAAACAAUUUUAGUCCUAUGAUCAAUUUUAAUUUUACAUUUGAUUAUUUUUAUUUACUUUGAUAUAUCACUAUAACACUCGCCUAAAUAUUAUGGCAUAUUUCAAAUAUUUAAAACUUUUUUACAAUUACUUAAAAAAGUAUUAAAAAUAAAACUAUUAAAAAUAGUUUUAAAAUUACCCGUGCAUUUGCACGGGCUACUUACUAGUUGUAUAUAAUACGUUAUGGAAGAAAAUCAUCACAAUUGUGUCAUUGCUAUAUUUGAUGUAUUUAUACAUUUCUGGAUGAUAAAUCAUCCGCGUGUGUGUUAUAUUUUAAUUAUUAUAUUUGAUGGAAGAAAACAAUUGCUAUAGGCAUCUAAUUUAUUUUUUUUAACUUAUGGUUUCAGGUAAUGUACUAUGGAUAUGGACUCUAUCAAUUUUUCUCAUGUGAGUACCGAUCCUAACCUCAUUUCAGAUGAUAAAUUAGUAAGUUAUCCUGACUUUGUUGACACGCAACAAAGCUCUGUCAUUGAAGAGGUGAAUGCUCAGCCUUAUGUUGGAAUGGAAUUUGACUCGUUAGAAAAAGCUGAAGAAUUUUAUAAAUCAUUUGCUAAGAUAAAAGGGUUUGGGAUUCGCACUCGCUCUGGAAAAAAGAAUUAUUGCAUUUUCGUAUGUGUUAGAGAAGGUGAGCACAAGCCAAAAACUGAAAAAAAAAAAAAAAUGGUGAUACAGUACAAAUCAAGAGAAAAUGUUCAACCUUACGUAUGGGAUGUCAAGCAUCACUUACUGUGUCAAAGGAAAAGAAUCGAGACAUAUGGAAGCGGUGGACAAAGGAAGCCAAUAUGUGUAUUAAGGUUGAUGAUAUUGAUAUUCAAAGUUAUGAAUCAGAUGUUUUAAGAAGUAUGCAUGUGCAGCAUCAAUUUGAAAAUUUUUCUGACUUGGCAAAAAGAUCAAAAGAUGCAUACAAGUAUUUUAUACCAGAGCUUGAUCGUAUUUACAAAAUAGCUGUUACAAAGGAAGAUGAAACACCUGAUGCCAAUGAAGCUCCACCAAACCAGCAAGAUUUUAUGCUUGACAGGGAUGAUGCUGCAAAUUGUACUCUGAAUGACCCACAUAUAUCACAAACAAAAGGUAGAAAAAGGAAGGAUUCUGACAAAACGCCUUCAGCAGGAAGGUAUAAGAGUGGUCUUGAGGUGUCAUUGAACAAGACGUCGGUCAAAAGAAGAGCAUGCAAAUCUUGCGGAGAAUAUGGUCACUAUCAAACAACUUGCAAAAAGUCAACUUAGCAUGUCUCAAUAUUGAGGAUGGCCAGGAAUGUCAUAUGAAGAUUGUGAAGAUGAUAUAUUGCUGUACUGUGUCAUUUUUACAAGACUAGUUUACUGGACAACUUCAUUUCAAUCAAGACAAUAUUUAUAAUAUGUCCUU